ACGGAGGAUCCAAGCGUUAUCCGGAAUUACUGGGCGUAAAGAGUUGCGUAGGUGGCAUAGUAAGCAUACGGUGAAAGCGUCUCGCUCAACGAGAUACACAUCAUAUGAACUGCUAAGCUAGAGGACGAGAGAGGUAGAUGGAAUUCCCAGUGUAGGAGUGAAAUCCGUAGAUAUUGGGAGGAACACCGAUGGCGUAGGCGGUCUACUGGCUCGUUCCUGACACUAAGGCACGAAAGCGUGGGAGCAAACGGGA
rnacentral:rRNA from 1 species